UGGCUCAGCCAAGGUGCAGUCUGCCUAGGA
rnacentral:piRNA from 1 species